CAGGAUUUGAUUCUUCAACCAUCCGAAUCCUCUGAGCUCGAGCUCUGGCUUGUGCUGUAACCAAUGCCUGCAUGCAUCGGAGAGUAGCUGUGGCCUGUUUUCUCACCAGGUGACCCCUUACCAGCGCCUGUAACUUUACUAGUCCUUUUAAUGCAUUCAAAGCUUUUCUAGCCUGUUAUAACACCAAUGAAACGACUUGCAAAUAUCAUAUCUCAUAAUAUGUCUUUUAACUUGAAAUUAGAUACAUUAGCUACAAAAAAAAUUCGUGGACACUUCAGAAGUUACAUACCAAAUAUGAUCGAAAGACAGAUUGAAUUUUUAUGGCAGCAGCCUCUUCAGCUGCGCUGGCUUUCUCAUUGGCAGCAGCAGUUAAGCGGAUCACAGCCGCUGCAGCCUGUGCAGCUGCCACAGCAGCGUCAGCAGCAGCUGCUGUAGCCACUGCCACAGCCAUGGCAUGCUUUUUCUGUUCAUCCUCAUUGUCCAAGGUGGCCUCCACUGAAGGUGGUGGAGUGGCAACUUGUUCUGUAGAAUUCAAGUCCUUUGUAGGGGUUGCUCCAGCUGAAGAUCUCCGAAAACUCCAUCUUCUUUUUUCUUUAGGAGUUGUUGGUGGGAUUGAAAUGGGAGUAGUUGGAUUCUCGGGGGCAACUGAAGAAUUCUGAUUGCUUGUGUAUUUUCCUUUUUCUUUCUCCUUAUCUUUCUUGCCUGUCAAGAAGCUUUUAAGCCAUUUUCCUGUCUUCCCCAUCCCUGUAUAAGACUCUUCUAGUCCACCAUUGCAUCACAGAGGAUCAUAGAAAGAAGACAGCAACAAGUGAUAUAUAGAUCCCCUAGGCUAUAUCGGAUAAGUAGCUUUCAACAUGUAAUGGGCUUUCUUGUUAAAGCAGAUCUUAAUUGCAGUUUUUUUUGUCUUUUUUGACAGCCUAAUCUUACUGCUUCAUUAUUCCUUCAGUGAUGUAACUACCACUUUCGGAGGAUGAUUGGGUAAUGCUCAUUAGGUAAGCCCUCAAUGAUGGGUAAAGAAGGAAGGAGGAAGCUGCCUUGGCAAGCCACUUGCCACCAUCCUGG
rnacentral:lncRNA from 1 species